GAUGAACGCUGACAGAAUGCUUAACACAUGCAAGUCAACUGUGGCGGACGGGUGAGUAACGCGUAAAGAACUUGCCUCACAGCUAGGGACCACAUUUUGAAACGAAUGCUAAUACCUGAUACUGUUAGAGAGUUUUGCGUCCCAUUAGCUAGUUGGAGAGGUAACGGCUCACCAAGGCGAUGAUGGGUAGCCGGCCUGAGAGGGUGAUCGGCCACAAGGGGACUGAGACACGGCCCUUACUACUACGGGAGGCAGCAGUGGGGAAUAUUGGACAAUGGACCAAAGUCUGAUCCAGCAUUUCGGUGUGAACGAUGAAGUUUUCGGAAUGUAAAGUGCUUUCAGUUGGGAAGCGGUACCAACAUAAGAAGUGACGGCUAAAUACGUGCCAGCAGCCGCGGUAAUUC
rnacentral:rRNA from 1 species